rnacentral:rRNA from 1 species
UACGGAGGGUGCGAGCGUUGUCCGGAAUCAUUGGGCGUAAAGGGCGCGUAGGUGGCCCGGUCAGUUCGUGGUGAAAGCGCGGGGCUCAACCCUGCGUCGGCCAUGAAUACUGCCGCGGCUGGAGCACUGUAGAGGCAGGCGGAAUUCCGGGUGUAGCGGUGGAAUGCGUAGAGAUCCGGAAGAACACCGGUGGCGAAGGCGGCCUGCUGGGCAGUUGCUGACACUGAGGCGCGACAGCGUGGGGAGCGAACCGG